CAAGGCCCAACAAAACUUUUUUUCAUCACUUCUUCUUUAGGCCUCCACGACAUCCGUUUGUUUCUUAGGCCCACCUACCUAUUAUACCCAUGAUGACUCGACAUAUAUACCAAUUUUGUAGCCGUUGGAUCCAAAGAUAGAUGAUUCAGAUCUUCUGUCCAAAUAAAACCCUAGCCAUAGUAAUCCUACCUUAUCUUUCUCCAACCCGUCUAGACUCCUUUUGGCGGCGCCGUCUUAUCUACCUAAAUAAAACCCUAGGCGUCGACGCAUCUACCUCGCAUCCUCGCCUUGGCUCAUUUUGCCUCUAGAUUCCACAAACCGCCAUGAUAAUUCAUUUUUGAGGAUUAAGAUUGCAUCUCUUGCUGAAGUCACCCACCUUUUUUCAUCUACAGAAGGUAAUACGCGAUGGGUCAUGUGCGGCCCGUCUUCCUUCUCGCGCUCGCCUCCUCCUCGACCAUCUUCUCCUUCUUUCCCAACUCUAGCACCCGAGACUGAGACCACGCCCAUCUUCUUGUUCCCCAACUCCGGCGGGCUUAGCAGAGAAAGGGUUCAAGGGAGGCAGGGGGCGGCUAGGUGGUGGGGACGGCGAGAGGGUGCGUUUGGGGUCUAGCGGUGGUGGAGGCGAUCGGGCUAGGUGUGGGUGAGGGGAGGAUGACCAUGGCAACAGUAGGAGGGGGAGAGGGGAGAAGGAGGCUGCCUUGGGUGUGCUAGGGUUUUGUCUGAGCUCCACGGUCGCGGAGCUUCGGCGAAACCCUAGUAUGCUACGACAGGGCGGUGUGCGGUGAGCCGAUGCGCGAGAAAGGGGCGUCACCACGAGGACGAGGAGGGAAGGGCGGGGGCUAGAGACGGGUGACACAAGCCUGGUGGUGCUGGCAAGGGUGGGUCAAGGCAAGGACGAGCGUGGGGAGAGGCCACUGCGAGGAAGACAACGGAUCGCGUGUUUCCCAAAUAUGUGACCUGUCUUCUGUUAAUGUCCUCCUUCAUUCCAAAGUGUUAUCGCUCAUGCCUCUAGCCUUGUCGGACUACUACCACAUCACUAAGUAGCCAGUCAUGGCUAUUUCUCUGGCCCUGCUGAUGAAGUUUUGUGUUACUAGAGAAGGAGGCUUAGCUGAUCUAAACAUGGAUCCGCAAGGUAGAGGAAGCCUAGCCGAUCUAAGCAUGGAUCUACAAGGCGACAGCAAGGUAUGAAAUUCGAGUUUUAAUUUUCUGCCUGUUCUCACACCUUUUAUGCAUUGCUUACUAAUUGUUAUAUAUUACCUAGCUUUUUUGUGGGAUAAAGUAAGGGUUAGGCUAGCCAUACCAAAUUUGUAGAAUGUGAUAAUUGGAUUCUUUUUUGCGAUUACAUGAUCAUUGGAUUGCAAUAGAUACAAUUAUAUUAUUUUCCUCAUACUACCAGGGUACACAUUAUUCCUCUUGUUACCUCAGCACACAUCAUGCCUCCUUGUAUCUAUUCCAGGUAGUGCUUCUGCCAUGCCUCCUUGUAUCUAUUCCAGGUAGUGCUUCUGCCACCUAGCCCGCUCAAGCAACGCCACUACUGUUAGACUAUCUCCAACAGCUCACCCAAAACAUGACCCAAACGCAAAAUGCGUCGUCCACAGUGGUUUGCCUAUCCAAAUCCAGGCUUCAACGGAAGAUGCAUAUGACUCACCCAUUUUGCAUACGAGCCGCAGCGGAACGCAAAAAUGCAUCUCCUCUCUCCUCGACGCAUUCUCUAGCGCAGCGGGGCUUGGCCGGCUCGCAAGGCGAGCUCGUCGUGGGAGGAAGGCGAGCUCGUCGGGCGCAGGAGAGGGAACUCGCCGGUCGCACAGGGACAACGAGCCACCAUGGCUUGGAGAUGUGCGAAGCCCGCGCCCUUUGGCGGGGCAGGGAGGCGCUCGCGCCCUCGCUAGAGCCAUCGCUGGAGCCUAUGCACGCCGGAGAGAGCACGCGCGGCACCAUGAAGGGGAGCUCCGGCCCACCGCCGGCCAUGGAGAUGCGUUGCUGUUUCUCUAGCGGCCGCCGUGGAGGGAUGAGGACUGGAGAAGAGGCGCACGGGACCUCCGCGGUGUCCUCGGCCGCGCGGUCGUCCUUCGCGUCGGGAUGCGGAUCGCCACGGCGGGCAAGGUAGGCAGCUUGGAGUCGGAGGCAUCCUCCGCCGAGCAGGAUGGGGCUCUGCUUUUGCGUGCCUCCGCCGCACAGGAUGGGGCUUUGCUUUUGCGUCGCUGUUGGAGAGGCCUGAGUUAUGUGUGCGUGAUCUUUUCCUGUGCGUAACCCAAAAGCUCAAAUGCCUGUUGUGUUUAGGUCUCCCUUGUUGGAGACAGUCUUAGUAACGUCCCCACUCUUAGAUUAGCUCAACCGUCAUCCCUAACUAUACUAUGGCUUAUCUCGCCUGACUUCACUACCAUGACAGUGACCUUUCUCAACACGCUUUAUAGAUGGGAAGGUAAAAAGUCUUGAACCUCCCAAUUCCUAAGCCAAACUCGUUCGUCUAGAUCUAGCAUAGUCGGAGACGAAGAGCUAUAUAUAUAAAUAUAAAUCUCUAACCUGCAAGCUGGGCAGACAAUCACCCAUGGACUUGCCACUAAAUGGCCUCAUAGAUGCACGUCCCAUGCCUUAUAUUAUAAUUUUGUAAGUGAGAUUUGAGAAAAUAUCUCUAGAGAUAGAAAUGCACCUUCGAUCUUCUAUUAUGCCCUCACUUAUCAAAUCAUAUAAGUACUUGUCAAAUAUCAGACAGUCACUAAUCGCCAUGACACACAUCUAGAUGAUCGUAUUACACACUCAUCGUGUUUAGGACACAUCUAGCACCCACUUCUAGGCAGUCAUUGACCAUGAUAAACCUUCUAGCUAGGCAAGGCUACGUUCACUUGAGCAGUUGAGCUACUUUGCAGUAGCAACUGUUGUGUAUAGCAAUAACACAGUAACUUGUGAAGUGUAUAGUAAUAGCACAUAACCUGUGAUAUGUACAUUAUUAGCGCAGUAACCUGGGAGGGUGAGCUGCAACCGCCACAGUUGCUGAGGCCCUUAGUCGUCUCGCCUUGUGUCUAGCCCCUAAACUCACACUGUCAUGACAACUGCGUUCAAACCUGGGAAGUACAUUGUUCCAUGAAAACAUGCUUAGAUUAAAACCUUGUUUGGAUGUUGUCAGAUUCACUAUAACACAGUAACUUGAACUAAAUUACACCUCAAUCCACUCCAACGCAUAUGAAUUCACAAAAAAUCUGACUACAUCCAAACAAGACCUAAUGGAAUAAUGAGGUGCAACAGAACAUAACAAUGCAGCCCAAAGACCUGAAAACGCUACUUCUACCAACACACCGCACAGCACUAAUAACCGAAAUAAGCGCAGGAGAAUGACAAAAGGCAUUUGAUAGGAAAAAAAUCAUCUAAUUUACUGUAUGCUACCCCCAUUUUGGAGUGCCUCAAUGAUGCAACAUAUCAAGACAGGCAGCAAACCAGAACUUCACUGUAACCAGUUAGAAGUACCUAAAUAAGAUCGACUCUCAUAACGAUCUGGUGAAACUAAAUUGACGCUCGAGGAUCAUCAGUUCCUUCAGCAGGAGUACCUAAUGAAGUCUAAUCCCCAUCCCUCCCUCCUCAACCCCACGGCUACGCCCUACUCCACCAUAGCUGGUAAGCUCAUUUCCACGGGGGGAAGCUUGGGAAGCCUGGUGGCUGUGUGCUGGUGCUGAAGGAGCCUGUGGUGUUUGGUGGGCUUGCAUGCCCACCCAAGGAUUCAGUACCCCUAGAUGGACUGCUGGCAGUUGGAAAUCUUCCAAAAGCAUGUUUUUCGGGUGCUGAUCCAGGGUCAAGCUCCAUUUUUGUAUCAGCCAGAAAGCUCCCAAUGACCACCUGAACAGCAGAAUAACAAAAACACAAUCCAUUGAGAGAUUUGUCAAUCCUCCAGGAGUAAGUGCAAAAACACUAAAAGCCGAUUGCCCAAAAAAAUAUAACUGAUCAUCUUAUCAUGUUCUGUGUUACAGAUGACAGUAUGUAUAUAUAUACAUCACUUGGAAAAUCACUUGCAAUGACAGUAUUGCACAGUAGGAAGUAAGAACAUGAUUCGUGAAACAAAGAGACCAUCAGAACUGCUAUGUAAUAAGUACCCAGUAGAACAAACAAAGUCUAAAUGAUGUAAUUUGCAAAACUUUUAGCCUUACGGCUCUGAGAAAUUUUAUAUUCAGGUGGGGAUCCUCUCCCCCCUGGUGACCUUCAAAAUAAAACACAAAGAGACCAAGGUAUCUGAUGUAAAGAUCUUAAUUAAGAUAGUGAAUUCAGAAUAAAAGGGGAACCUGAACUGGCGAAGCUGCAGUUAGAGGUCCUGCUACAGCACCACCUAAAACACGCCCAUCAGGACCAGCAAGAGAAACACUAAGUCCACCUGUUCGACUGCUCAUGCCAGCACUUUCUGACAGAAGAUAUGACCCAGCCAAAGAGAGAAUCUCAAAACGGCCCUGCAUAUUGGAUGCAAGAAACUAUGUCAUUCAAAUUUAGUGCAAGCACAUAGGUUAAUUAUUUCCAGAACCGCGAAACAGAUGUAUUGCCAGAAAAAAAAGGUCCUUCCUUCUCUUAUGUUUUAUGCAUUGUAUUUUCCAUUCUAUUUCACCGGGAACAUGGAACGGUGCCAUGUUCCUUGUACUAGGAAUGUCGUUCCCAUCCCAGGAACAUGGGAACAUUCUCAUGUCCACCGUGUAAAAACCUGUCAAGUACCAUACUGUGUUCCUUAACUGCAUUGACCUAGGAACUUGAUGACUCCAGGUUUAGCUGGGAUAUAGUUCUAUACUUCUAUAGAUAUUGUCAGUUAAGCCAAGUGCUAUGUAUCUUAUUUACUGCAGUUACUAUUCACUGUCCAGUAAUUAUCGGGUUCCUUGGCAACCAAGUUGAUCGUGGUGCCUUUGAAACCAAGUAGGCUAAGCACUUUUUGCUAGGGAAUAUGCUAUAGUAGGUGGCUGUCCACUUAGGCUAUAUAAGCAGUGGCAGCACCCCUGUGUAACCAUGCCCUGUAAUUCUACUUUCCAAUCCAAGCGGCUAUAUGCCAAGCUGCCCUCUGGGCUUUUACCCUGAUCUGAGCCAUGUGUGGCCAACAGAUAUACCAGGGAAAAAAAGGAUAUUUAAACUGAGCAAGAUAAGUCAAAGUUGGAAGAAUCUACAAACCUCAUAAGUUACUGUUCCACCAGAAGACUCUCCUUGACGCAGGGUCACAUUAGAUACAGCGCCAUUGGCUGUGAGGAUACAAACUGCCCAUCCAUUCCCAGAAAAUGACAUGACUCUUGAUGCUACAUCCUGAAAUCAUGGAUCCUUCUUUAGCAGGUUACCAGGAAAGCACAAGUUCACAAAGAAAAUGAAUUUGGAAUGGAAAGCUGAGGAACAUGAGACAACCAGCCAAGGACCAAGGUCCAUAGUGGUGUCUCACUCUAGUAAGGGUGGUGCAGUGGGGCAGUGGUGUGGCAAGGUUGCCUCAUAAUCCUUGCCUACCCUAUAUUAACUCCUCAACAAUAGAGAGUAAAUUCAUAACAAUGGCAGAUAAUAAAAGAAAAUAAAUAUUUAAAAGGAAUCCAGGCCCUAACAUAUAGGGAGUGUGCUGUCCAAUUCCAUAACAAGGCGAUCCAGUCAAGCCACCUAAUGCUCACCCGACAUAAUAGCAGUCAGCAGGAAAAAUACACAAGGCAGCACAGAGUAAUCAUGAAACAAGUUUGUAAAAUGAAGAUAUAAUACAAGGAAAAGGCGCCUCAAGCUAAGGGGACAAAACGAAAUAAGAGGUUUGCAGUGACAGGGAAAAAAAAUAUAGUAACAUGAUUGCAAAGUAAGUAUUCACCCUUCCAUUCUAACGAGCAUACUUAGCAGACUAUCACAGAAUAACACAAACUUUAAGAAAAAAAAUUUACCAGCAAUAAAGCUUGCAGUAGACCAGGCUAAGACCACUAACUCUAUUGUGGUUUGACUAAGCUCAAACCAUUUAACGAUAGGCCAGCAUGAAAGGUAUACUAAAGAUAUAGAUUAUGCAAGUAUAUAUAUGGUUUGCUGAAGUCCAGGCUAAGGAGCAUGACAUAAAGUUUACAAGAUAGCAGAGCAGGAUGUAUUUAUUUAAAAAAAAGUGAGAGCAGGAUGUCAGGCGUAAUAAACAUUUCCUGAGGCAGAACAAAUCUUAUAUCCAACGAGCAGAACAAUCAUAUAAUUGCAUUAGGUAAUACAAAUAGAAAAAAGAAAGUUAUGGCACCAUAAUAAAAAGCGUGGAAUACAAAAGGACAACGUCAUAAAGCAAAAAAUAGAUAUUAAUCAGUAUAUGACUUCACAUAGCCAUGGAAUAGACAAUAUAGCUUAAGAAAAUGAUGCUACUAGUAUAGCUUGAAAAAUUGAUGCAAGUAAACAUAACCCAUACAGAUUUUGAUAUAAGAGAUGACAAAAAUCCUAAGACUGCAUAAGUACAUCUGUAGGAGCAUCAUAAGCAUUGGACAGUGUACCUCUCCAGCUUGGACUGUGAAAAUAUGAGGCUUCCAUCCAGCCCAGCCUGGUCCUGCUAAAACAAAAUUUCAGAAACAUUAUAUAUAAUCUCAUAAUCAUAGUGCCAUCACAUUGAAUUAAUAUGUAUAAACCUCAAGAUAGUCCCACGAUAUCUAGUAUGCCAAGCAAAAUAUCCAUAGCCAUAGGUAUACUUUUGGAGGGAUCUGAACACAUGGUAUUAACGGCAUGUUUAUAAUAACUAUAACUAUUAAAUGCAUAGGAACUCAAAGUUUUAUUGGGGGGAUUAGGAGCUCAAAGUUGAAGGUGCAAUGAUCCAAUAACAAAAGUCAAACACCGCUUAAGUUAGUAAACAAAAGAUAACCAUGGAUAAAUAGUUCAAUACAUUCCAACUGAGUAAACUAAACACAAACAGUGCGCUAAUACAGUAAAAAUAUUUCAAAUCUAGAACUGAAACAACAUAAUAUUACAUGCCAAUGCAAGCCAACAGCAGAUAUUAAUCACAAUUAAGAGUAAAAAAGGCCAGAUCCCCACAGGAACCACAAUAAGCUAAUAAAUCACAUCUACCACGAACUAGUAACGGAAAGAAGUAUUCUCGAGUUGCCAGCAGCACAACCUUUCCCUACUCAGUUCUACUUAGAGCAACAAGAAUCCUGAAGAAACCUCUCUGUAUUUUUCUCAAGAAACCUCGCUUGCCAAAUAGUUUUUUUGAAUGAAAACUCUAGCAUGGAGAAGGCCAAGGGCAUAAAGGUCAUUAUCACCAAGUAUUCCAUUCCCCGCCCACAACUCCACCCCUGAUUGCUGCCGGCAUGACAGCAAACCAAAAGUAAAGAAGAAUGAAUGAAAUGAUAAAUAAAUGAAUGCUAAUCCCUGGGGUCGUUUUGCCCAUUCCCAAGUACCACAAGUAUAUAUACGUGUAUCUGAAGCUCUGAACAGAAAUACGAUCAAAGCCAUCAAUGCCGCCUUGCACAUUUCACUACUUCUACGCUCCAGUUGAAAAGGGGACGGCAGAACAUUACCAGGCGCUGCCGCCUGCGGCUGUUGCUUCUUGCUGGAGGGGCCCGGCGGCCGGCCCCGCUUCUUGACAGCGGGAGCACCUGACGCCGCCGGCGGCUGCGGCGCCGGUGAGGCCUGGGGACUCACCACGCCACCACCCUGCGGGCUUGGAGCGAAGCCAGGAGGAAUCGUGGGUGACGCCUCAGAGGCAGCUGGGGCAGCAGCAGUGGGUGGCUGCGACGGGGGCACGAUAGCCAGGGGCACGGCGCCGUCCGCGGGGCCGUACUUGCGCGGGCGCCCGCGCUUGCGCUUGAAGGGCUCAGAAGUGGCGGAGGAAUGAGCUAGCCCCGGAGCCGCCGGCACGAUGGCAUUGCUGCCCGCGGACUGUUGGUAGAACGGCGGGAUGGCCGGUUUCGCGUAGACGGCGAUGCCGUCAGGGGUGUAGAAGACCGAGCCGGGGCUAGGCUGCGGCGCCUGGUGCUGCUGCAGGGACCCCUUCUGCACGCCUCCGCCAUACGCCGCUUCACUCGCCGCCGCCAUCGCUGAUGACAUGGUUCACCCCGCAAGCACAGCUCGAGCAGAGGAACCAAGGAAAGGUCCCUCCUUUCGAUCGAUCUCGCUGGAGCCAGGCACUCCCAAGAUUAACCGACCUAGAGAGCAAACACGACGGCCAUCAGCUCAAAAAUUCCAAGUCCCGGCGACGAAUUCUGCGAGAUCAAGAAGCGUACUAGACAGGAGAGUGUACUUACUCAAGUGAACAGAAAACACCCAGGUACAAAAAAAUCCCCCUUACUAUUUUGCUCUUUUUUUCCUUUUUCCUUCUCUUUUCUCUGACAAGAUUCCGAAUUUCACAGUAGCACGGAAGAAACCAAAAAACGAAUUUUUCACAGUGACAAAUUUCUCUACGAAAUACGGCGGAGAAACCAAAAAAAAAACUCUGAGAUAAACCCUAAAAAUCACGCAAAUAAAACAGAGAAAUUAGCGACGGGCACAGGAAGCCGCAUCAAGUUCCCAUGAUUUUUGCAAAUCCUUGCCUCGAAUUCCCCAAACCCCUUCGCGAAUUUCUCGACCGAAAUACUGAGAAGAGAAAAAAAAAAGCUUCUGUAAUCGACGGAGGAGAAAAUGUGUAAAGCCCAGCAGGGAUUAAUAGAGAGGAGGGGAGCGUAUGCCUUUUCGCGAGGACCCCGGAUAUACGCAGAAUUUGCUGCGGUUACUGUCUUUUGCCAAUUUUUCUGGCCGUCUAUUUCCGCUACUGCGAAUUUUGCGGUAACCGAGGGGGUUACUGAAAAGCUGGUGGGAGAGAUAUUUACCUUUUCGUCAGCCUUCACAUGAAUUGUGAAAUUGGUUUUCUUUUUUCUAGAGGAAAAACCGCUUUUUCCGCGUUGUGUUCACAUGAUGCUGUCAUGUCAUUUUUCGGAAGCUAUUUAUUGCCCGCCUAGCUGUUGGGAUUCUCACGUGUCCUACUGUAGUCCGCGGCACCAACUAUACGCCUUUCACUUAAAAAAAAAACUAUAUGCCUUUGGUGGGUCAGCCUCGUCAGUGUCUCGCAGAAUUCGUAUUAGGCCUGGGUCAGCCUUGUCUACACAGAGGCGUCAGCAAAAGGGGACACCUGGACGUAUUAGGCCUUGUUUAUUUCCACUCAAAAAUUCAAAUUUUUUUAAAAUUUCUCAUCCCAUCAAAUCUUUAGACACAUGCAUGAAGUAUUAAAUAUAGACAAAAGUAAAAACUAAUUGUACAGUGUGGGGGUAUAAACCCCUAUACCCUUACGGCUAGACUUUGGCCAGGAAGCUUGGCCCAUUACGAGACGAGUUCAAGGCUUGAUCCGACAACCUGGAGUUUCGCGCAAGGAAACAAGAUGGGGAGAUCAAGCAGGAUUCUAGUCGGUUAGAAUAGGAAUUGAUAUCGAAUUAUCCAUGGCAAUUGUAACCGACUAGGAUUAGUUUCCAGAUCUGUAACCCUGCCCUCCAGACUAUAUAAGGAGAGGCAAGGGACCCCUAGGACAUCAUAUUCUCUUAACACAAACCAAUACAACCAGACGCAGGACGUAGGUAUUACGCCAACUCGGCGGCCGAACCUGGAUAAAAAGCUUGUCCGUGUCUUGCGUCACCAUCGAGUUCGUAGUUUGCGCACCGUCUACCGAUAAACUACUACCGUGGGUAUACCCCAAGGUAGACUGCCGACCAGCUUUCGUCGACAGUGGCGCGCCAGGUAGGGGGUGUGCGUACAGCUCUCCCGACGAACAAGAUGGCCAUCAUCCCCGACUUCGCGGCCAUGGCGGGCGACUUCACGUUCACCGUCAGCUUCAACAACUUCACCGCCAUGACCACGGAGGAGGUGUAGAUCCGAUCUGCGCCAACCACUUCUUCAUCGACGUCGGCGGCGGCUUCAACCACGCUGGCUACGACUCCGACUACUCCAGCAACGUCUCCGACCACGCCGACAACGCGUCACCCGCUUCUCUGCUACAAAGAGAGGCAGAUCGACAACACCGACCUGCUCGGGCCAUCGACCAAAUUGUUUAGCCUACUUGCUCUGACCACCAGUCGUAAUAAUAAUCGCCGCGAAGAACGACGCUACGACAACAGCGACCACCGUCAUGACAAGUCGAAAAGCUCGAGGGCCGGACAAUUUUGUCGUCACCGACUAGACUUUCAUCCAAAGAUAAGUACAUUUCUAAUAUCUUAUUUAUUUUUGGCAUAAUAUUUUUUAUUAUCAUUCAAAAAAACUUUUUGUUUAGCCACACUAGUUUUUUCUCCUACACGAGCUUUCCAGAGCCGGUACUGUCUCCGACUCCUCCCUACACGUGCACGAGAUCCGCCCUCUGCGUUCCGGGUGGUCGGCAGUAGCUCUCUGGCGAGGCUGGCAAUCCCACACGUGUCUAGGUUCCGCACCUCAUGCUGAUUGUUGGCUAGACCAGAGCUGGUACAAGCUCUAGGAUGAAUUAACUACUUGUGCUAAUUUUAUAACAAAAAAUCUAAAACUUAUCUCAGUACUGAUUUUUAUCUAAAGUUUAUUUAUACAUCAUGGGUAUACCCCAAGGUAGACUGCCGACCAGCUUUCGUCGACAUACAGUUUGGUUGAAAUUGAUGAGACGAAUCUUUUGAGCCUAGAUAGUCUAUAAUUAGACAAUAAUUAGCACAAAAACAAACGAAAGUGCUACAAUAUCACAAAUUUUUUUCCUUUGAAAACUAAACAAUGCCUUAGGCCUGGGUCAGUUCCUAAAAUUUUCCAAAAUUUUUCAAAAUUUUUCAUUACAUGCAUAAUUUACUUGUAAUUUACUGAUACAUGCAUAAAACAUUAAAUAUCGAUAAAAAUAAAUCUAAUUACAUAAUUUACUUGUAAUUUACGAGACAAAUUUUUAAAACCUAGUUAAUCUAUAAUUAGAUAAAAUUUAUCAAAUAUAAACAAAAAUACUGUAAUGAGAACCAAAAUUUUUGAUGAACUCAACAAGGCCUUAUUCCUGCUGGGGUGUGCUUAUGGUUUUCUUUUCUUUUCUGCAAGGAGCGUGGUCGUGAAUGAAUAUAAAAUCUUUUAUACACAUAUAUGGUAAUUGGAUUUAAUACGAGCACAUGGUUUACAGAUAACUACAUUAAAGCCAGUGGAAUAUGAAUGCCAACCCAUAUGUUGCUGGGAUUUUGCGUUUCCGUAAGCCAUUUGGUUGCAUAUGCCCAUCUAGAGCAACUCUAAGAGUCUCAUAGAGAUUUUAGUAAAAAAAAAUCUCCUUCAGCAGCUUUUUAACUAAAUUAAAUAUCCCUAUACUCUAUUUCUAGUUUCUCGCUCAUGCAAGUUAGAAAGUAAAAUUAAGCUUUUUAAAGUGUCGAACAAGAUAUAAAGAAGUUGUCGUAGCAUGUAAAGAUAUAUGAAGCUAUUUUUAUUAGAAUGGACCUGUAAAUGAGGAUUUAUCGAGUGGGUUCAAGAAAGACAAUUAGAUAUGCACUUUUUUUAGAGAAACAAGAGAGGUUGCCCCUGCUGGUCUUUUAUUAUUAAAAAAAUAUAAAAUCACAAAGAGCCAAGCUCUGGACUUAGGAUACAAAGAAGGACAUAAAAGAAAACCAUAAAAAUUAUACAAUACAAAGUUGUUUAGCCAUUGAUCACUGGUUGAUUUAUGUUGCAAAAAUCACUGCAGUAUGCAUAAACUUAAGUGAUUCAACACAUUUUAUGUAUUCUAAGAUGCCAAUAUACUCCUAAGGUAUAAUUUUACUAUAUUUGGGAUUUUUGACCAAAAGAGUUGCCAAUGAAUGCUAGGGAUAUUCCACAACAUUUAGAGAAAGAGUUCUCAGUGAAUGCUAGGGAUGAAAACCCAUCGGAUUCAAACGGAUAUGUAUAGAUAUAAAUAUGAGUACUUAUUUUUUCUUCGGUUUCGGAGUUGGAUGUAAUUGUGUUAGGAUCAAGUGAUAUGAACAUGGAUGAGUGACAAGAUACUAAACAUUAGUAAGUAUUACUCUCUUCAUACCUAUGAAGAAAAUCGUUCUGGACAAAGUCUUGGUCAAACAUUGAGAAUAUAAAUAUGAAUAACUUUAAAGUUGUUGAGUUUGAAAAUGUAAAAACCAUAUGAAUAGAUUUGUCUUGAAUACUUUUUAGAAAAAAUAUACAUAUACCACUUUUUGAUAAAUAUUUUUAUCAAACAAGGAGUCAAAGUUAGGCUUCAAAACGUCUUUCUUUAUAUAUAUGGAGAGAGUAUGUGGUUACUCUACACUUGUAUUGUCAUCAAAGUCACUUGGUUGUCAACAUAGACUAAUUUUAAAUAUCUACUAACAAAUAAGGACCAAAAGAAAUCCAUAAAAGAUUCAGUUAAUCCUAAUUUAGGCACCAUAAGAUACAAAAUAAAUUUAGGAAAAAAUAUGAAGCUAGUUUGAUUUUUUACCUAAAUUAUUUUUCUACUAUUUUUACAAUUAAACUAGAUUUUAGGAUCUUGAAAUGCCUACUUUUUCAAUAAAUAUUUGGAAAUUUUCUUUAAAAUUUUUAUAGUCCGAUCUACCUCUUAAACUAUCAAUUUAGUUCGAUUUACUCCCUCUUAGCUGAUAUAGCGCCUAUGCAACCCUUGAAAAUUGGAUUAAAUCCUAAAAAUAGGGGCAUCUAUGCACUAGUACAAAAAAGCUCUACAUUAGCGGUGGAAUUUCUUUUUUUACACGUGGUUUCAAUUAAAAAACGUCUGUGAAAAGAAAUCGGUGGGCCCGACCCAAGAACCGCCAGUGGAAACACAUUUUCACUAGCGGUUCUCUUAAGUGAACUGCUAGUGAAAAUUGAUUUUUUACAGGCGAUUUUCCUACCAAAACCACCACUAGAUAUUGUGUAUUUCUACAAGUAGUUUUCUUAAGAAACCGCCACUAGAAAUCUGAUUUUUAGUGGCGGUUUUAUUAAGAAAACUGUUUGUAAAAAUAAUUUGAAAUUAAUUUUAAGUUUUUCAAAUGACUUCAUAUAAAAAACUACCAAAAUAAAACUUGUAUAUCUCAAUAAGUUAUAAAACUUUGUAGUUAGUUGGUAAUUUUUUUAUUUGAAAUUAUUUUGUCAUCAAAAACUACGUUUGAAUUUGUCAAAUUUAAAAUUCAAAUUUUGUAAACGACCUUAGAUAGAGAAACUAUCAAUAUAAAAGUUGUAGAUCUUAAAAAGUUAUGAAACUUUGUAGUUGAUAACUUUUUUAUUUGAAUUCAUUUAGGGCCUAAAACAAUCAAUAUACACUCAGUUUAGGAUAAUAUGUAGGAAACCAAACUCUAAUGUAGUUAUGAGUGAGUGGUGGGUGAAGUGGUAGAGGAGGCUACGCGUGAAGGUGAGGUCUUGGAUUCGAAUCCUGCCAGAUGCAAAGCACAUGUUUUUACGCGGAAAAAAAUGCGGGACUUGCAACUUUGACGGAGGGCGACUAUUUUUAAAACCCAAUUUAUAUUUUCUACAUAAACAUUUCCACGUGCAAUUGUCUUGACUAAACUAGCGCUAGCGGUUCUGAGAAACAUCUCUAGAAAUAUGUUUACAACCGAUUUUGAAAAAAUAUCUAUAGAAAUAUGUUUACAACCGGUUUAAAAAACCGUCUAUAAAAAUAUGUUUGCAACCGUCACUACUAAAGUUCAGGGCAUUGGCGGACGCACGAGGGGGGCUGGGGUGGCUGCAGCCCCCCUCUUGGGCUGAAAUUUUUUUUGACAUGUUUUCUUUUUUAGCAAAAGACUCUAUAUAUUUGGUAUUUUUCUAUGCUUAUUUUAUAAAUCUUUGUCUUUAAAUACUUUGAAUCAAUAUUGAAUUAUCAAUCUUAGCUAUAACUAUUAGGCCUUGUUUAGUUCCCAAAAUAUUUUGUAAAAUUUCUUAGAUUUCCCAUCACAUAUAAUCUUGCGGCACAUACAUGAAUCACUAAAUAUAGAUAAAAGAAAUAACUAAUUACACAGUCUAUCUGUAAUUUGCGAGACAAAUCUUUUGAGCCUAGUUAGUCCAUGAUCGGACAAUAUUUGUCAAAUACAAACGAAAAUGCUACUAUUUCUAUUUUGCAAAAAAAUUUGGAACUAAACAAGGCCUUAGUGUACUGAAUUGAGCGAGAAAAAAAUAGCAUGUAUUAUUUAGCCCCCCUCUUGGUCCAUUUCUGGAUCCGCCACUGGUUCAGGGUACUAGUGAUGAUCGUAUCACAUAUCUCUUAAUCUGGCAUGAAGAUUCCUGAAAUUUCAAGGUUUAAUGUUUCUUAGAGAGAAUUAGUAAUUUAAAAUCCAAAAAAAAGUAGCAUGCUGCUUGCAUCAAAUAGGUGUGAACUAGUUUAUAUACCAGUUGAUUAGAUUUUUUGUGGUAGAACGUGUCCAUCAAGGCUUAAAAUCUCGAUUUGAUGUGGUGGCAUUUUUCUAGACUUUGUCCAGGAUUUAGUUGCGUUGUUUUUUUAGCAAUAGUUAUUCUGCUCGUUAACAAUGAAACAUGUAUGAUAACCUCGUUAAUAUAUAUACACCAUGGGUAAUCAAACGACUUUGUAAUGUUAACAAUUGACUUAGGUAACAGUAUGAUCUGGAUUUAUCAUGUUAAAUUUUGUACAUCCGAUUUGUUACGAAGUCGCACAAUAGGGACCGUGUCCAUAUUUAAAACAUUAUGCAUAUAUCUAUAUACCUAAUAAAGAGGCAAAAUUUCACAUUAUUUUUUCGUCCAUCUCUCCCUAACUACCCGAUAAUAGAGAGUUUCUUCCACCCAUACUUAUAUAUAUAUUCCAUGCUCAUACGAGUUAGAAUAACUUUUCUCUAAUAACGCGAUACGAAGUCUGAUUCCAAAACGUAUUGGGUCAUGUAGGUGAUCCAAACUCAUAAGCCCUUCCUAAGCCUGCCACACCCACAAAUUCCAUAGUCAAGAUUGAACUAUCAAAAUCAGAGUUUUUUUUUGGAAAACUUAAACUUUUACUACGCUAAUCAGAAUUUCAAAUUUAGCCCAUGUCAAUGCAAUAUCCCAUAAACUCUCGUGAAACAUUUUUUUUUUCAGCUUGCCAACAUAUAUACAUGAUCGUUUCUGAUCUACUCCCUCCGUCCCAAAUUAUAAGUCAUUCCAAAAAUCUUCGAGAGUCAAAGUUUUCAAGUUUAACCAAAUUUAUAUAGUAAAAUAAUAACAUUUUUGGUACCAAUCGUUGUUAGUUAUAUUUUCAUAGUGUACCUAUUUUAUAACAUAAAUCUUUAUAUUUCUCUCUAUAUUUUUGGUCAAACUUGAAAAUGCUUUGACUCUCCAAGAUUCUUGAAAUGACUUAUAAUUUGGUGGGAGUAUGUCUUUGCAACUGUUUUUUUAAGCAAUUUCCGAUUUAGAGGAAAUAAUAGUAUAGGUAAAAUAGAAAAAAGUACGGUCUCAAUGUGGGAGAACCCUACCUUCUCAAUUAUCACGUGUCCUCGCCUUGAUCACUAGGCUAUUGCCAAUGCAGUGCGUCUUUGAGUCAAGUCUGAUUCCACACCGAUCAUUUGAUUCUUUGUUUUGACUAGUGAAGGGCGCGCGCCAUCGCGCGCACAACUGAUAAUUGAAGAUUGAACAGAGCAGGUAAUAAGUAUGUUUUGUACAUGAAUGUUUUUCAGGUUCUAGGUUUGUGGUCAUUGGCAAGCAUAUUUUACAUGUGGGAUAUAUGGAAUCAGUUGUACUAUAUACAUUGACAUUUAGGUUAUAGCAACAACUUCGCUGGAGCAGUCCCUAAUGAUUUUGGCUGGUGGUCUAAUAAUUCCGCGAAUGAAUCCUCAGUUUCCCAGCUGGAGAUUCUUCUUAAUUGGUGA
rnacentral:lncRNA from 1 species